AGCAGCCGCGGUAAUUCCAGCUCCAAUAGCGUAUAUUAAAGUUGUUGCAGUUAAAAAGCUCGUAGUUGAACUUCGAGAUUUAUUCAUUGGUCAGGCUUAAUUGUUUGAACUGGUGAGAUAAAUCUUUACCUUCUGAGGAACUUUCAUGCCAUUUAUUUGGUGUGAUUGGAAAUCAGGACUAUUACUUUGAAAAAUUAGAGUGUUUAAAGCAGGCUAACGUCUGAAUACAUUAGCAUGGAAUAAUGAAAUAGGACGGACUGGUUCUAUUUUGUUGGUUUCUAGGAUCACCGUAAUGAUUAAUAGGGAUAGUUGGGGGCAUUAGUAUUCAAUUGUCAGAGAUGAAAUUCUUGGAUUUAUUGAAGACUAACUACUGCGAAAGCAUUUGCCAAGGAUGUUUUCAUUAAUCAAGAACGAAAGUUAGGGGAUCGAAGACGAUCAGAUACCGUCGUA
rnacentral:rRNA from 1 species